AUUGAACGCUGGCGGCAUGCCUUACACAUGCAAGUCGAACGGCAGCAUGGGGCAACCUGGUGGCGAGUGGCGAACGGGUGAGUAAAGCAUCGGAACAUACCUUUCAGUGGGGGAUAACGUAGCGAAAGUUACGCUAAUACCGCAUAUUCUGUGAGCAGGAAAGCAGGGGAUCGCAAGACCUUGCGCUGAUUGAGCGGCCGAUGUCAGAUUAGCUAGUUGGUGAGGUAAAGGCUCACCAAGGCGACGAUCUGUAGCGGGUCUGAGAGGAUGAUCCGCCACACUGGAACUGAGACACGGUCCAGACUCCUACGGGAGGCAGCAGUGGGGAAUUUUGGACAAUGGGGGCAACCCUGAUCCAGCCAUGCCGCGUGAGUGAAGAAGGCCUUCGGGUUGUAAAGCUCUUUCGGCCGGGAAGAAAUCGCACGGGCUAAUACCCUGUGUGGAUGACGGUACCGGAAUAAGAAGCACCGGCUAACUACGUGCCAGCAGCCGCCGUAACAC
rnacentral:rRNA from 1 species